CCACAAGUUAGGGGGGUGGCAGUUCCUGUCUGUCCGUGAGAAAGUCUGCUCACCUGCUUAAUGUUCAUUUUACUAGUGCCAAACAUUUAAUAUCUACAAGAUAAUAGUAAUGUUGAAAAACAAAAUAAAUUGUGAAAUGUACAAGGAUUAAAAUAAUGCUGGUAUUGACACUUUUUUCUUUUCCACACCAAGAUAAUCAGCUUUCAUUAUAGCAAGGGGAGGAGACAGGAGAGCCGGAAGCUGCUACUUUUGGAGUAUGUUUUAACUACUGUACGAACCUGUAAUGUAGUACUUCAAAUUUGUCUGAGCUGCAAGGAUCUGCCAACAUGGUGCAUCCAGAACAUCCAAUCUUUGAAUCCACCUUGCUGAAUAAGCUGACUUCUGGCAGUGCAUUUGCAAUUGCUUUUAUAUUUCUUGUUUUUCAGUACACUUUCAAACUGGACUUUCAGUGCCCAUGUAAUGAUUUUUAUCAGUGGUUCUGCGGACUAUAUAUUGGUCUUCCAUUUAUCGGACUUUUUUUAAUACUGACCUUAACCGCUAAAACAUUUACAAUUAUUUCUGCACUGUGGUGUUCUUGUAUACGUGCGUUAUGGUCCCAUGAAGACUGCACACUUGGGAACAUUCUCCAUGUAUCCUGCUCCUGUUCAGCCUGCUCUCGUGCACGUUUCUAUCAGGCAUGCAGAAGAUUUUCCUGUAAAAAUUUUAUGAGAAACCUGUUUCUUUCUGCGUUAUGGAUCAUAACAGUUUUGAUUGAUGGUGACGCUGUGGUGUGCUGGAAUCUGACAGAAGAAAACAUCACCCGAACAAACGAUCAAAUUCCUUGUAAAGAGAGCAACAAACUUACUGCUGAAGAAUCUGACAAGAUUAAAUAUUAUCAGGCUCUAUCACAGGCGUUCGGGUUGGGAUUCCUUUUUGCUCUACCAUUAUUGUGGCUGUUGGUUUCUACAUGUUGUCAGUUUUGCACAACAUCCUAUUACAAGUCUCUAUUUGAAGACAUAUAUGAAGAGGAGACAAUAAGAUAUGCGGAGGAGGAAAUCCGAGAGAGAGUGAAAACAAGUUCUAAAAAAAAAAUUAUUAAUGUUUUAAAUGUACCCGAAAAUGAUGGUUUAGACUGGACAUACUUGUCUAACCAAAUGAUUGACUUAAUCAUGUCAAGAAACUCUGAAUCAAUGAAUGGACCACCCCAGAACCUUCCUCAGCAAGACCAGAACCCUUCUCUGCCACCCCAGAACCUUCCUCAGCAAGACCAGAACCCUUCUCUGCCACCCCAGAACCUUCCUCAGCAAGACCAGAACCCUUCUCUGCCACCCCAGAAC
rnacentral:lncRNA from 1 species